UACGAAGGGGGCUAGCGUUGUUCGGAAUUACUGGGCGUAAAGCGUAUGCAGGCGGAUCGUUAAGUCGGGGGUGAAAUCCCGAGGCUCAACCUCGGAACUGCCUUCGAUACUGGCGAUCUUCGAGUCCGGGAGAGGUGAGUGGAACUCCGAGUGUAGAGGUGAAAUUCGUAGAUAUUCGGAAGAACACCAGUGGCGAAGGCGGCUCACUGGACCGGUAUUGACGCUGAUGUGCGAAAGCGUGGGGAGCAAACAGG
rnacentral:rRNA from 1 species